AACCCCUCCCCUUCCAUGUGCAGCUCUGGGCUCCUCGGCGGCUCUCUGUGGCAAUGUGAUUAAUAACACAGAGACAUCCUGCUUGUUGGAUUAUUAAUUUCCCGUCCUCUUUGCCUUAUUUUUUUUCUUGUACAUACUUCUGAUGCUUUUCCUCUGCCUGUUUGCUUUUUCUUUGCCCUUUGCAAAUCCUGGCCAUUCCUCCUUUUCCCUCCUGUAGCCCAUCCUCUUGCCCAUGGAGCUAGCUAAUCUUUAGCACGUAACACUGCCACCGGCCACUCAACUUUGUGCCUGCUUGCUUCAUACUUGGGUAGUCACAGCUCCUCUUGCCAGCUCUGCACACCAAGAGUGAACCGUGCAAAAAGACAGAAAGAGGAAAGAAAAAGG
rnacentral:lncRNA from 1 species